UGCCUUGGGCUACACACACGCUACAAUGGGUGGUACAGUAGGUUGCAAUAGGGUGACCUGGAGCUAAUCCGAAAAGCCAUCCUCAGUUCGGAUUGCAGGCUGAAACCUGCCUGCAUGAAGUCGGAGUUGCUAGUAACCGCGUAUCAGCAUGGCGCGGUGAAUACGUUCUCGGGCCUU
rnacentral:rRNA from 1 species